rfam:Triticum aestivum genome assembly, contig: Triticum_aestivum_CS42_TGACv1_scaffold_591955_7BS
UCUGUACUCCCUCUGUCCGAAAAUACUUGUCGGAGAAAUGGGUGUAUCUAGACAUAUUUUACUUCUAGAUACAUCCACUUUUAUCCAUUUAUGCCACAAAUAUUUCUGGACGGAGGGAGUAUUUC